UCGCAGUAGAGGCAGGCCUAAAGCAUUUCCCAGAGUGGUAGGUCAUGCUUGUUAUUAAGGUAAACAGCAAAGGCUACAGUCAUAGCUUUGUAGAAGGCAGGUUCUACUGUUAGCUGAUCACAAUCAUAUGUUUGGACCUUUUAUGUUCAAUCAGUGUGCCUGUCACUGUAACUCUUUUUCCCAAAGGAUACUGGACUCCUAUUGAUUGUUCCAUUCUGCCAACAAGGAAACAGAACCAAAAAGAUGGAAUUCCUAGUUUAAAAUCCAGGAAUAGACUCCUGGUUGUCGAUAGCACCGGACUGGAGGCCAAGCCCCUGACUUACACAUAACUGAAUUUGGGCCUCCAGCCAGACGCCCAGCACUGUAGGAGGCAUGCUUCUCUCUCAGCCCAGUUUAUGAAGGCUUGCUGUUCUUGACUCAUUGCAGGCCACUGGUGUGUUUGUGCUUCUGUCAUCCUGACCAGUAGCUCUGUCACCACCAUGGAACCACCCUAGCAGUAGUGGCCACUGUCACUUGCAUGUUGGGCAUACCCGUUACUGAAGGAGGAAAAAUACACAUGUAUCCAGCAAUGAAAUUCAGGACAAACACUAUACUAUGCAUGAAGAUCACCGCCUGGAGAUCCCAGCUCUUCAUUCCAGACGUCGUAUUUGAAAAUGGAACCUGAGGAAAGCGUGGUUUAUUCAUUUUGUUGUUUUCUGUGGUGCUCACAUGGCUGCCCUGAAAGCUCACUGUAGGAGAGCUCAAUUAAGAGGCUUCAUAAUUUUCACCAGUUAACUUUGAUUAAAUGCACUGUCUUGGAGGGGAACUCAGCCAAUCCUGGCUAUAAAUUACCUGCAGUGAGUUUUCAACU
rnacentral:lncRNA from 1 species